rnacentral:lncRNA from 1 species
UUUUUUUUUUUGUGAAAUUUGAGGAGAGAAUAGUCAAAACUUCUACGUCAGGAGACCUCACCAGAGCGACGAAGGGACUGAGGAGUAAAAAGAAUCCUACUCUCCGAUAUAUAUAAUCCUAAGACUCAAAACAUUUUUGUUCUAGACUCAACAACGCCAGCGAUUCGAUCAAGCAAGGGGCUCCUAAGUCGGGGAUGGCUCUGAUUACCAACUUGUAACGCCCACGAUGCGGCUAUAUCUCCCACGUGUCGAGGCACGACUUAGAGGCAUAACCGCAUAGUGGUUUUGUCGCAAGAAGGGUCAUCUUCACACAAUCCCAUGUAAUGAACAAGAAUGGGAUAAAGAGUUGGCUUACAAUCGCCACUUCACACAAUACAUAAAUAUCAUCAUACAUCAUCCAAAAUACAAUCCUAUAGACCGACUACGGUCAAAAUCCAGAUAAAAAUAAGACAACCCCAAAUGCUAGAUCCCCGAUCGUCCCAACUGGGCUCCACUACUGAUCAUCAGGAAAAGACACAUAGUAACGACCACGUUCCUCGUCGAACUCCCACUUGAGAUCGACCCCAUCAUCUGCACUGCCAUCGUCGGCACCUGCAACUGUUUUGGUAGAAUCUGUGAGUCAUGGGGACUCAGCAAUCUCACACCCGCGAGAUCAAGACUAUUUAAGCUUAUAGGAAAGGAUGGUGUAAUGAGGUGGAGCUGCAGCGGCAAUAAGCAUAUAUGGUGGCUAACAUACGCAAAAGAGAGCGAGAAGAGAAGCAAUGGAACGGUCGUCUUCUAGCAAUGACCAAGAAGUGAUCCUGAACUCCUACUUACGUCAUACAUAACACAGACCGUGUUCACUUUCCGGACUCCGCCGAGAAGAGACCAUCACGGCUACACACGCAGUUGAUGUAUUUUAAAUGGGUCAAGUGACAAGUUCUCUACAACCGGACAUUAACAAAUUCCCAUCUGCCUCAUAACCGCGGGCACGGCUUUUGAAAGAUAAUACCCUGCAGGGGUGUCCCAACUUAGCCCAUCAUAAGCUCUCACGGUCAACGAAGGAUAAACCUUCUCCCGGAAAGACCCGAUCAGUCUCGGAAUCCCGGUUUACAAGACAUUUCGACAAUGGUAAAACAAGACCAGCAAAGCCGCCCGAAUGUGCCGACAAAUCCCGAUAGGAGCUGCACAUAUCUCGUUCUCAGGGCACACCGGAUAAAUCAAGCUACGAGUAAAACCAGACCUCGAGUUUCCCCGAGGUGGCCCCGCAGGCUGCUCGGUUCGGACCAACACUCGAAGGAGCACUAGCCCGGGGGGUGUUAAAAUAAAGAUGACCCUCGGGCUCGCGAAAACCCGGGGGAAAAGGCUUAGGUGGCAAAUGGUAAAACCAAGGUUGGGCCUUGCUGGAGGAGUUUUAUUCAAGGCGAACUGUCAAGGGGGUCCCAUAAAUCACCCGACCGUGUAAGGAACGCAAACUCAAGGAACAUAAUCCCGGUAUAUCAGUAACUAGGGCGGCAAGAGUGGAACAAAACACCAGGCAUAAGGCCGAGCCUUCCACCCUUUACCAAAUAUAUAGAUGCAUUAAUUAAAUAAGAGAUAUUGUGAUAUCCCAACAUAUCCAUGUUCCAACAUGGAACAAACUUCAACUUCACCUGCAACUAGCAACAUGGAACAAACUUCAACAGCACCUAGCCCUCUUCCAACAGAGAUUUGGGCAUCAAGAUGACCUCUAAUGAACAUGGUGCAAUUGAACAAAAUGUAGAGCAUCACGAGACGAACAAUUUGAUAUAUUACACGCGCGAAUUGGAGCUACAUGCAAGAAGUUACGCACUGAGGAACAUGAGCACUUGCUGGAAAUCAAAAGGACUUAGAAAUAUCUAGGGUUCGGGAAAAGUCAACUGUACAUUGCCUUCUCGAUCGGAUCUGGCUGGGGCGCGAGCUCGGGCUCGUCGCCGGCGAUGGAGAGGAGGAGGAGACGGCGGCGGGGCAGCGCCGUGGAGAGGAGGAGGAGGCCGGAGAGGUGGAGGGCGGCGCGGUCGGCGGCGGACGGGGCGCCGGCGACGGCGGCGGGCACUGGUGCGGCGGCGCGGCGNNNNNNNNNNNNNNNNNNNNNNNNNNNNNNNNNNNNNNNNNNNNNNNNNNNNNNNNNNNNNNNNNNNNNNNNNNNNNNNNNNNNNNNNNNNNNNNNNNNNNNNNNNNNNNNNNNNNNNNNNNNNNNNNNNNNNNNNNNNNNNNNNNNNNNNNNNNNNNNNNNNNNNNNNNNNNNNNNNNNNNNNNNNNNNNNNNNNNNNNNNNNNNNNNNNNNNNNNNNNNNNNNNNNNNNNNNNNNNNNNNNNNNNNNNNNNNNNNNNNNNNNNNNNNNNNNNNNNNNNNNNNNNNNNNNNNGUGGCGGCUCGCCACUGGCUCGGGGCGGCGGCGCGGUUCGUCCGGCCGACGGCGGACGCGUCCGGCGGCGCGGAGGGAAGUUUUUUAGGGUUUCGUCUGCGAUUCGUUUUCGGGAGGGGAGGCAUAUAAAUAGGUAGAGGAAGCUAGGAGGCUCCAAAUGAGGUGCGGUUUUCGCCCACACGAUCGUGAUCGAACGACCUAGAGUAUGGAAGAGAGUUAGGUGGGUUUUGGGCUGGUUUUUAGGGGGGUUUUGACUGGACACAUAAAUGGACUUUGCGGAUGCCCCGUUAACCGUUGGAGUACCAAACGACCUCCAAAUGGAACGAAACUUGACCGGUGGUCUCCGGGUAGUAUAUUAAGGCCACUUGACAAGCCUCGGUCCAUUCCGAGAACAUUAGACACCCGCACACGAAAGAAAACAAGAGGGGUGCACCGGAGGAGAUAGGAGCGCCGGAUUGCAAAACGGACAACGGGGAAAAUGCUCGGAUGCAUGAGACGAACACGUAUGCAAAUGCAAUGCACAUGAUGACAUGAUAUGAAAUGCAUGACAUGAACAAAAUGCAAAACGAAAGACAAAACCCGACCACGGAGAGAAUAUCAUAGCACAUAGCCGAAAAUGGCAAGAGUCGGAGUUACAAAUAUGGAAAGUUACAUGCGGGGUGUUACAGUUAACCUAUACAACAAUGCCAGACCAAACUUAGACCAACACAAAAUAUCUUUGAGUCAACUAGGACAACGGGACACAUUUAAGACACACUGACCACCACUCUCACGUGCACAAUAGAUUAAUAGUCAAUUGGUCAACAGUAUAGUCUAUGUAUGGGCUUCAACCUUCAGCAAAUUAGAAGCUAGCACCUAUGAGAACAAUGGAGAAGGGGAUGGGCAGCCAUACUAGCCAAGGAAGAUGGUUUUCUGAUAUUAAAAGGAGAGAGAGCAGAGCAAGCCAUUGCCAAGACUUCACACAUCUCCGUUCUUCCCCAAAUAGCCAAACCAGCAGCUUGUCUUCCUCCCACUUUCUUCAUCUUUCUAUCUGCAACCAACAAAGAUCCAAGAACAAUAAGUAGAGAUGGUGACCUGAUGAUGAGGACAUCAAUAUCAUUAUUACACCCACAGCCCCUGCUACUAUACAUACUGGACCGAUUACUAGAGCUCGCACACGCCAAUUAAAUUACCAGGUACUUUCGUUUCUUUGUAAUGAUUCUAAUGUUCAUGAGAAUAUGAUGUUGCCUAAAUUGGAUACAUUUGUUUUGCUUACAAAUAAAGGGCCUAGCUUAGAAGGAUGAACAGUUGAACAAGAACAAGCAUGGAGUUGAUGGCAUGCACAAGGGAGACAAGAACAGAGUUUCAAGUGAUGAUUUCAGGACUUUGAAGCCACCAUAAUGAGUGCAUGAAGCCUUGGACGAAAUAUACAAGAUGCCACUUCAUAAUUUUCAUCCAGAGGCUAUUCUAGGUGCUGCGUCACCUUAUUUUUGGGCCAGGCCCAUGUAUUUUCGAAAUACUUGAAUAUAGGCUGUUUUCAGAGUCCGUAUGUGUGGGGAAACAAGAGUUAGGGUUGGUUUCGGACCCCUCCUCCAAGGGGCACGAAAUUCCCCCCUCUUCCUCCAUAUAUACAGCCCUUAGGGCAUCGUUUAGACUUUGGGGGUUUUGUUUAGAUUAAAAGUUCGCCAUAGCUGCAACUUCGCGUAUUUCGUUUGUGUUCAACGACCAGACCAAGACGUCACAGAACCCCACCUUCAUUAAUAAAGCUUUCCUCUUUUAUUCGCAAUAUCCAGAUUGCAAUCUCAGUUUCUUGCUUGUUCUUCGUUUGCUCGCAGGAAAUAGACCCUCGUGGUCAGGUUGAUCGUGCUCCGGCGUGGUCAAUAACCCUUCGGAAGUUGGUUUAGCGAUUGCUAAGGCGCGACGUCUUCGCACGUUCGUAGUCGGGUCGUCAAAGUCGACUCCCUCAGAAAAUGAUAGCUAUCCCAUCGAAACAUUGGGACACCCUCGCCUCUAUCAAGUGGCAUCAGAUUUCCAGGUUGCUCGGUGAGAUUUUACAGUUUUUCGUAGUUUAGAUCGAGUCUAUUCUUCAUACCUACAGUCCACGAAAAAGCCAUAAAAAAUUAGGGUUAGUUCAUCAUAUCCGAACCAAUCUGAGCCUUUGCAUAAUCUUUUUAGGGUUUUUUCUUUGUUGAAUUUGCGGUUGGAUCGUCGUGUCUAGUUGCUGGUCUUAGAGUCUAGUCUUUUAGAGUUUCGAGUUCUGGUCAUAAGUUGUCACGCCGCCGCCGCACCAUCAUCAUCGCCCCUGCCAUCUACCACCACCGCUUAUCCCCCACCGCUCUGAAUCCGUAUCCAUAUACCACCACCGAUUCGUAUCCAUAUACCACAACUGAUCCGUAUCCAUAUACCACCACCGCUACCAUAUACCACCACCGCGGCCAUAUCCUACCACCAUAUAUCCACCACCAAUCCGAGUUCUUUUCAUAUUAGGUUUGUUUUCGAGAUCCAUCUAUUUUCCGAUUCGUGUUUUCUUGCCUGAGUAGGUUUCGAAAAAAAAGAGUCUGGAUACCCCCGGGCAGUUUUUAGGCCAAAAUUUCGGCGACCGAAAAUAUUUUUCCCUAUCCUAUUUUUAGGUGUUUCUGAGUCUUUUGAGCCACGUGCCAUCAUAGUGAUUUUUUGUCGCACUUUUUCGUCGUCGUUGCCCUGAUUUCAAAAAAAAAUAGUCAAAAAAAAUUUGUGCCCAUCUUGUCAUUUUGACCUGGGAAGAGUUAUGAGACAAUCGCCAUUAUCGUGAUUUUUCGCAAAAAAAAGAGCGCAAAAAAAUAGAGCGAAAAAAAAUUCCAGAGUGUGCUUUUCCCUUGUUUACGUGCAGCGCCGUGAUUUUGUUAGUGUUCUAGGCUCGCGUGUCUAGCACGGUCUAGUCUAGGACCAGCAUAGUACCAUCGUUGAGCGUUUAUUCAACUUUGCAUCUCUGAAUUGAUUAUUGCUGACCCUUUUUGCUACCAUAUUAUAAGCCUUCCUAGCUCCACAUAAAUCUACGUCGUGCGUUUGACUCUCCCUGGUAAUCGCUCUAUCCAAGCUUUGAGAGUUUUUACUACAACGGUUGCCGUUCACCACCUGCUGCUAGGUAAGAAUUGGUAAGAAUUUGAGAUUUGUUUGACGGAUUUGUGACACCCCACCACCGCCAUUUUCUAGUAGUCCGUAGGAUCAUAUUCUUGUGUGUUUCUAUUGCUGCUAACCAUGGCAGGAUCACAAGCCAACGAGACUGACUGGGAGAACAUGACGAACAAAGAGUUACAUGAUAAGUUUCAGCAAAUGAUGAGUGGACAAGUGGAAGAUGUGCUAAACAAAUUUGAAGAGGCCAUGAAAAAGAUAGAUGGCAUUGAGAAGGCAUUCGAAACAAAGCUCGAUAACAAGUUUAAUGAAUUGCUCGUGCGUCUUCCACAACCACCGGCCUCCGCACCUGUCGCACCUCUACAACAACAACAACAACAACAACAACAACAACAACAACAACAACAAUAACAACAACAACAACAACAUCGCCUUCCAAAUCAAGUGGGAUGAGCACAGCGCGUUCCCCUUGAGCCUGGUCAAACUUCUGGUGCCGCUGUUAAUGCUUUUCUAGCUCCUGCUGCUACUGCAGAGGUGGUGGACCAUUACGAGGAUGAGGUUGACCAAAAUCAGAACUACGUGCAACCACCAGCACCACCACCACCAGGUCGUCCUCAUGCAUAUCAUCGCAACGGUAGGGCCGCACCACCACCUGAGGUACAUGACCAUCUUCCUAAACUAAAAUUGAAUAUUCCACCAUUUGAGGGUAGAUAUGUUCCUGAUAUAUAUCUUACUUGGGAGUUAGAAAUUGAACAACGAUUUACAUGUUUACAAUAUAUUGAGGAGAGACGUGUUCCUGCUGCUGUUUGUGCUUUCACUAGCUUUGCAUGUGUUUGGUGGUCUGAACAUUGUAGAUUAUAUCCUAUUCCAGCUACCUGGGCUGCUUUGAAAAUAGCUAUGCGUACUCGUUGGGUUCCACCAUAUUAUCAACGUGAAUUACUUCAAAAAUUGCAGCGUUUAAGACAAGGAAUUUUUUUUGUAGAAGAGUAUUAUCAGGAAUUACAAACUGGAAUGAUUAGAUGUGGUAUUGUUGAGGAGAAUGAAGCUAUGCUUGCAUGUUUUAUUGGUGGAUUAGAUAGAGAGAUUCAGACCAUUCUAGAGUAUACGGAGUAUAACAAUAUCACUCGUUUAUCCCAUCUUGCUUGUAAAGCUGGCCGUGAAGUGCAGGAUCGACAAGCAUUGGUGCGAACUAACUUUUCUGCAGGCCGACCUUCAUCACGGACACCACGUGCAUCCUCUACUUCCACUGCACCAGCACCUCCAUCAGGUGCCACCUCCAGUCGUGAUACAAGAAAGCAGGCACAACCACCACUAUCUGCCAAGAGCACACCUACCGGGCCUACACAGAACUCUUCUUCUUCGAUGGCAUCAACAGGGCACACAAGUGAUAUUAUUUGUCGUCGUUGUAAGGAAAGAGGUCAUUAUGCGAAAGAAUGCAAAUCUCAGCGUGUGAUGAUUGCUACUGAGGAUGGUGGGUAUGAGUCCACUAGUGACUAUGAUGAGGAGACUUUGGCUCUUAUUACACAUGAAGAACACGGUGAAGAUGAUUCUGAUCAUGAGAGGCAAUACAUGGCUCCUGAAGACGCUGACAUGUAUGAACGUUUAGUUGCUCAACGUGUUUUGAGUGUGCAGGUCACACAAGCUGAGCAAAAUCAGAGGCAUAAUUUGUUCCAUACAAAGGGAGUUGUGAAGGAACGUUCUGUUCGCGUCAUCAUAGAUGGAGGGAACUGCAACAACUUGGCUAGCAUGGAGAUGGUGGAGAAGCUAUCUCUCACCACAAGACCACAUCCAUAUCCUUACUACAUCCAAUGGUUCAACAACAGCGGCAAGGUUAAGGUAACACGUACUGUUUGUGUGCAUUUUAGUAUCUCUACAUAUGCUGAUUAUGUUGAUUGUGAUGUGGUACCUAAGCAAGCAUGUUCCUUAUUACUUGGUAGACUAUGGCAAUUUGAUAAAAAUUCUGUACACCAUGGUAGAAACAAUCAGUAUACUCUUGUUCAUAAGGAUAAAAAUAUUACUUUGCUUCCUAUGACUCCUGAUUCCAUUUUGAAAGAUGAUAUUAAUAGAGCUAAUAAAGCAAAACAGGAGAAAAAUAAGAGUGAAAUCAGAUUGUGGCAAAAGAAUUGAGCAACAAAUGAAACCUAAUAAUAAACCAUCUAGUGUUGCUUCUGAAAUUAAAUUGAAAAGUGCAUGUUUACUUGCCACAAAAUCUGAUAUUGAUGAGCUAGAUUUCAGCAAAUCUGUUUGCUAUGCUUUUGUGUGCAAAGAGGCAUUAUUUUCAUUCGAGGACGUGCCUUCCUCUUUGCCCCCUGUUGUCACUAACAUUUUGCAGGAGUUCGCUGACGUCUUUCCACAAGAUGUGCCACUCGGAUUACCACCUAUUCGAGGGAUUGAGCAUCAAAUUGACUUAAUUCCCGGUGCAUCGCUACCCAACCGUGCACCAUACCGUACCAAUCCAGAGGAGACGAAGGAGAUUAUGCGUCAAGUACAGGAGCUGCUCGACAAAGAUUAUAUACGCGAAUCUCUUAGUCCUUGUGUUGUUUCUAUUAUACUAGUGCCUAAAAAGGAUGGUACGUCAUGUAUGUGUGUUGAUUGUAGAGGCAUUAAUAAUAUUACUAUUCGUUAUCAUCAUCCUAUUCCUAGGCUAGAUGAUAUGCUUGAUGGAUUGAGUGGCUCUACAAUAUUCUCCAAAGUUGAUUUGCCUAGUGGAUACCAUCAAAUUCGUAUGAAACUGGGAGAUGAAUGGAAAACAACAUUUAAAACUAAGUUUGGUUUAUAUGAGUGGUUUGUCAUGCCUUUUGUGUUAACUAAUGCACCUAGUACUUUCAUGAGACUAAUGAACGAAGUUUUGCGUGCUUUCAUUGGACGAUUUGUGGUAGUCUAUUUUGAUGAUAUACUGAUUUAUAGCAAAUCUUUGGAAGAACAUUUGAAACAUUUACGUGUUGUUUUUAUUGCUCUACGUGAUGCACGUUUGUUUGGUAACCUUGAGAAGUGCACCUUUUGCACCGACCGAGUAUAUUUUCUUGGCUAUGUUGUUACUCCACAGGGAAUUGAUGUUGAUAAAGCCAAGAUUGAAACUAUUGAGAGUUGGCCGCAGCUCAAAACGGUCACACAAGUGAGGAGUUUUCUUGGACUCGCUGGUUUCUAUAGGCGUUUUCUGAGAGAUUUUAGCACCAUUGCUGCACCUCUCAAUGAGCUUACAAAGAAGGAUGUGCCUUUUGUUUGGGGUACCGCGCAGGAAGAAGCCUUCACUUUUGUACAGUGUUCUAUAUCUUAAUAUAAUUUCACGGUAGGAGGCUUUCCCACUGUUCACGGUCAAAAAAAAGAUAAGUUGACACAUGCUCCUUUACUCCAACUUCCUGAUUUUAAUAAGACUUUUGAGCUUGAAUGUGAUGCGAGUGGAAUUGGAUUAGGAGGUGUGUUAUUACAAGAUGGCAAACCUGUUGCAUACUUUUUCUGAAAAAUUGAGUGGGCCUAGUUUGAACUAUUCUACUUAUGACAAAGAAUUAUAUGCUCUUGUUCGGACCUUAGAAACAUGGCAACAUUAUUUAUGGCCCAAAGAAUUUGUUAUACAUUCUGAUCAUGAAUCUUUGAAACACAUUAAAAGUCAAGCAAAACUGAACCGUAGACAUGCUAAAUGGGUUGAAUUCAUUGAGACUUUCCCUUAUGUCAUUACGCACAAAAAGGGUAAAGAAAAUGUUAUUGCUGAUGCAUUGUCUCGUCAUUAUACUAUGCUUUCACAACUUGACUAUAAAAUAUUUGGUUUGGAAACCAUCAAAGAUCAAUAAGUGCAUGAUGCUAAAUUUAAAGAUGUAUUGCAGAAUUGUAAAGAAGGUAGAACAUGGAACAAGUUCGUCGUUAACGAUGGAUUUGUGUUUUGUGCUAACAAGCUAUGCAUUCCAGCUAGCUCCGUUCGUCUUUUGUUGUUGCAGGAGGCGCAUGGAGGAGGACUAAUGGGACACUUUGGCGUGAAAAAGACGAAGGAUAUACUUGCUACACAUUUCUUCUGGCCAAAGAUGAGACGGGAUGUUAAGCGUUUUGUUGUUCGCUGCACUACAUGUCAAAAAGCUAAGUCACGACUCAAUCCUCAUGGUUUAUAUAUGCCUUUGCCUGUACCCAGUGUUCCUUGGGAGGAUAUAUCUAUGGACUUUAUUUUAGGUUUACCUCGAACAAAGAAGGGGAGGGAUAGCAUAUUUGUUGUCGUGGAUAGGUUCUCGAAAAUUGCACACUUUAUACCAUGUAAUAAAAGCGAUGAUGUUGUUAAUGUUGCUGAUUUGUUCUUUCGUGAAAUUAUUCGCUUGCAUGGUGUGCCAAAUACUAUUGUUUCAGAUCGUGAUACUAAAUUUCUUAGCCACUUUUGGAGAUGCUUAUGGGCUAUGUCGGGGGACUAAACUGCUUUUUAGUACUACUUGUCACCCCCAAACUGAUGGACAAACAGAAGUAGUCAAUAGAACAUUGUCUACUAUGCUUAGGGCUGUUUUGAAGAAUAAUAAGAAAAUGUGGGAAGAAUGCUUGCCUCAUAUCGAAUUUGCUUAUAAUCGUUCAUUGCAUUCUACUACUAAGAUGUGCCCUUUUGAAAUUGUGUAUGGUUUCCUACCUUGUGCACCUAUUGAUUUGUUGCCUUUUCCAUCUUCGGAGAAGGUUAAUUUUGAUGCUAAACAAUGUGCUAAAUUGAUUUUAAAAAUGCCUAAGUUAACUAAGGAAAACAUUGAGCGUAUGAAUGCUAAAUAUAAACUUGCUGGAGAUAAGGGUAGAAAACAUGUUGUGUUUGCACCUGGAGAUCUUGUUUGGUUACAUUUGCGUCACGAUAGAUUUUCUGAUUUGCGCAAAUCAAAGCUAAUGCCAUGUGCUGAUGGUCCAUUUAAGGUGUUAGAGAAAAUAAAUGAUAAUGCAUAUAAACUUGAGCUGCCUGCGGAUAUUGGGGUUAGUCCCACUUUUAAAAUUGCAGAUUUGAAGCCUUAUUUGGGUGAGGAAGAUGAGCUUCCGUCGAGGACGACUUCAUUUCAAGAAGGGAAGAAUGAUGAGGACAUCAAUACCAUUGUUACACCCACAGCCCCUGCUACUAUACAUACUGGACCGAUUACUAGAGCUCGCGCACGCCAAUUAAAUUACCAGGUACUUUCGUUUCUUGGUAAUGAUUCUAAUGUUCAUGAGAAUAUGAUGCUGCCUAAAUUGGUUACAUUUGUUUUACUUACAAAUGAAGGGUCUAGCUUGGAGAAGGAUGAACAUUGAAGCAAGAACAAGCAUGGAGUUGAUGGCAUGCACAAGGGAGACAAGAACAGAGUUUCAAGUGAUGAUUUCAGGACUUUGAAGCCAUCAUAAUGAGUGCAUGAAGCCUUGGACGAAAUAUACAAGAUGCCACUUCAUAAUUUUCGUCCCGAGGCUAUUCUAGGUGCAGCGUCACCUUAUUUUUGGGCCAGGCCCAUGUAUUUUUGAAAUACUUGAAUAUAGGCUCUUUUUACAGUCCGUAUGUGUGGGGAAACAAGAGUUAGGGUUGGUUUCGGACCCCUCAUCCAAGGGCCACGAAAUUCGCCCCUCUUCCUCCAUAUAUACAACCCUUAGGGCAUCGUUUAGACUUUGAGGGUUUUGUUUAGAUUAAAAUAUCGCCAUAGCUGCAACUUCGCGUACUUCGUUUGUGUUCAACGACCAGAUCAAGAUGUCACAGAACCCCACCUUCAUUACUAAAGCUUUCCUCUUUUAUUCGCAAUAUCCAGAUUGCAAUCUCAGUUUCUUGCUUGUUCUUCGUUUGCUCGCAGGAAAUAGACCCUCGUGGUCAGGUUGAUCGUGCUCUGGCGUGAUCAAUAACCCCUCGAAAGUUGGUUUAGCGAUUGCUAAGGCGCGACGUCUUCGCACGUUCGUAGUCGGAUCGUCAAAGCCGACUCCCUCAAAAAACGAUAGCUAUCUCACUGAAACAUCGGGACACCCUCACCUCUAUCACCUGAGAAAUCAUAGUAGAUCGAAGGAGGAAGGCUAGAGCAAGAAGUUAGCCUACUGGACUGGGAUCUAGAAGUAGGAGCAGCACUAGUAGGAACAGCAGAGAAAGCAAAAGAAGAAAGGUGAGUUCUUCUUCUUCUGUCAUUCCUUUAGCACUCACACUCACAAAGAAGCCUAACCCAAAUGCACCCACAAUAUUCCUCACUACUUCAUAGAUGAACACAAAAGCUAAAUCAUCCGAGUAGUAUCAUCUAUCAUAGAUCUUAAAAUCAAUAAUACAAGAAAGCAUGGAUAAUGCCUUAAUCAAGUAAAAUAAAAUGGAUCAAGAUAAUGUACAACAAUAGUACACCAACAUCUUGCACAAGAGGAAUUGGUUCCAUACACACACGCACAUGAGACUAAAUUAAUUUACUAAAUCUGAGAACUUUAACCAUAAAAAAAUAUUAGGGAUAGGAACCUGCACAUAUGUUCGAUCUGUUCCAUGGCCACGCACUGGAGCUCUGACCUGCACCAUCCAGCAUCACAGCGGCACCCAACGCCGGCGACUUCGAUCUGGAGCAGCGGAAUCACAUCCCAAUGAGAGCCUCACCUGCAAGCCAAAAUCAGAGGAGGAUUUGAGGGUUAAGGAUGAAUCCAUGGGGGACAUAUGGGGAUUUACAUCACAGAAGAAGAGAGAGAGGGGGGAGAGAGAGAGAGAGAUUUGAGGAUCCGGCAGCGGCGGAGCAGCAUCUUUCCCAUCGCUGGCUUGCUGCUCGAUCUGGGCAAGGAGUAGAAGAAACAGAGGAGGGCAUGCGUGUACUGCUUGUGUUCUGGCUGGACUAGUACUAGUGUGUGUUGGUUUGGUUCAGAAUGGGUAAUAGUACUAGGAGAGAGAAAGAGCCACUUAGCCUAAGCUGAAAUGUCACGUACACUCCCAGGCUACUAGUACUGAUUAG